CAAUUUUACAGAUAAUCAAAGUUUUUUGCAACCUAAGUAUCUUAGAUCUGGUUGCAAAAAAACUUUGAUUAUCUGAAAAGUUG
rnacentral:miRNA from 1 species